AUUGGCAGAAUAUUUUCUUAUUCGCGAUUCCACAAACAUACCAGACAUUCUUUGGUUUGAGUAUACCGCGUCUCGCACAGAAUCACGGCAACGGAGCAAACGUAUAUCGCAGAAAUCUCAAUGAGUUGUUUACAUAAAAGCAAACUAGAUGUUAUGAAAUAUCCAAAAUAGAUUACUUAUGCAAUGUACUCGUUUAUAGUACUUAUUUAGUUAGUUGUGUACCUUUGAAAUGUUUGUAGAAAUAUACGAAAAAUAGCAA
rnacentral:lncRNA from 1 species